GAUUGCACAUGCCGUGGCUGUUGGAGCAGUCAGGACAGGACCAGAGGUAAAGAAUGUGCUCUACUCUGCAGCUGGAGAUAAAGGUCCCUCCUGGAGCCUCUGGCCAAAGGUGCCUGGUGAGACGUGAGGGCGACCACUGGGUUUCUGGAGCCGAAGCUACAGAGGUUCUGAGGCCAAUUCCACCCCUGAGGAGAAGGAAAUCUUAGCAGCCUAUGAAGGCAUACGAGCAGCUUCAGAGCUUUCAGAUUCAGCAAUGUCCUCACUCCUGACAGACCAGGGUCCCUUUCCAGAGUAAUGGAGGAGCACCGUGAUUUUUUAAUCCAAAAUUCCCGGAUUUGAAUGAAAUGCUCUGGAAAGGCUCUGGAAAUCAUUGGGUGUUCACAAUCACCAAUGAAGAUGUUCACCAGGAAUUGCUGAUCACUGGCCUCCAGCUGGAUGUUGCACUCCUGAUCACCACCCCGGCCAGCAGAUUUCAACCAGCCUGCUGUCUGCUCAUCCAGCCCAUACUUCAUGGGCUUCUCUGUGAGGGAGCCCUGUCUGUGUCCACUAGUACACAGAUUCAUUUUGAUUUUAAACAAUCAAACAGAAGGGAGUGUUUUAACAACACAAUUAUUUUUCAAAGGGAAAUAGAAGGGUAUGGCUUUGAUGGAAUGAGUGCCUUCAAGCUCCAUUGGCAGGCACUGUUUGAAAACUAUUUGGGUGAUUUUGGAUAAGAAAUGAAAGAUGCAACAGCAGGAAGCCAUUCAGCAAUCCCUGACAAGGGAGGUCCACUGUCAAUUGCUGGGAGGGCCCCCACCUGUUUCUUUUAAUGGUGCUCCCAAAUCCCACCCCUUGGGCCUCCCAUCCCAUCCCAUCCUUUUUGGUCCCCUCAGGCAUCUCCUCCCCAGCAUCUGCUCUGUGUCCUACCCAGGGUCCCCAAAUAUCCUCCCAUUGAUCAUUCCCAAAGCUUUUCUUUCCAUCCUUCCCCACAGACCUUUGCCUUUCACCCAGGCCACUGCCCUGGUACCUCCCAAGACCAUUCCUUGCCUCCCUCUCCACUCCCAACCAUCUCCCAGUGCCCUCGUUUUUGUCCUCCUCCAUCCUCCUCCUCCUGUCCCCACCAAGCCUCUCCCUUGCAGUCCCCAUGUCCCUACACUUGAAUUCCUUUCCCCUCCCCUGCAUCCCACACAGGGCCCCUUCAACACCCCAAUCCCAGUCCCGUGGGCUCCCCAGUUCCCCCCAGUUCAGCAUCUUUGGGUCCCCCCCAACCUCCCCCCCCCCUCCCUGCAGGCCCUGAAUUCCCCUGGCUCUCCUUGUCUCCAUCCCCACCCUGGGCCCUGCAGGCACAGGGGUUGGAGGUGAAACUGGGUGCAGUGGGAGCAGGGGGAGCAGAAGGGAUUUUCCCCCUCAGACGGGGGCAGCCCUGGGCUGGGGGGGCUGGGGACACCCGUGUCCCUCCCCCAGCCCCACAGGGGCCAAUCCUGCUUAAACCUUUGCUCUCCUUGCCCAGGCACUCUUGGCAGGAACCCAAAAUGAUCUGCGGGAGCUGCAUUUAGUGGACGUUGGGAUCCUGGAGACGGCUCAGCCCCCUGUGGUUGAGAAGGUGGUGGGUCCUGUUGGUGAGAAAGGCGUGGCUGCAUCCCUGGAUGUCUGAGGACUGGUGGUGACACCCGUGCCCUGUCCCCCUCCAGCGGAAUGAGGAGAUGAUCAUCCCUGGAAGAACCCCC